rnacentral:rRNA from 1 species
GAACGGGUGAGUAACACGUGAGCAACCUGCCCCGAAGACCGGGAUAGCCCAGGGAAACCUGGAUUAAUACCGGAUACCCUCGGACUCUCGCAUGGGAGGUCGAGGAAAGGCCUUUGUGCUUCGGGAUGGGCUCGCGGCCUAUCAGCUUGUUGGUGGGGUAACGGCCUACCAAGGCAUCGACGGGUAGCUGGUCUGAGAGGACGAUCAGCCACACUGGGACUGAGAUACGGCCCAGACUCCUACGGGAGGCAGCAGCAGGGAAUCUUGCGCAAUGGGCGAAAGCCUGACGCAGCAACGCCGCGUGGGGGAUGACGGCCUUCGGGUUGUAAACCCCUUUCAGGAGGGAAGAAAUUGACGGUACCUCCAGAAGAAGCCCCGGCCA